rnacentral:rRNA from 1 species
UAGGGAAUCUUCCACAAUGGACGCAAGUCUGAUGGAGCAACGCCGCGUGAGUGAAGAAGGUUUUCGGAUCGUAAAGCUCUGUUGUUGGUGAAGAAGGAUAGAGGCAGUAACUGGUCUUUAUUUGACGGUAAUCAACCAGAAAGUCACGGCUAACUACGUGCCCG